rnacentral:rRNA from 1 species
CGUGUAGGCGGUCAGGUAAGUGGAAUGUGAAAUGCCCCGGCUCGCCCGGGGACCGGCAUCCCAAACUGCCUGGCUUGAGUAUGGGAGAGGAUGGAGGAAUUCCUGGUGUAGCGGUGAAAUGCGUAGAUAUCAGGAGGAACACCGGUGGCGAAGGCGUCCAUCUGGCCCAAGUACUGACGCUGAGGCGCGAAAGCUAGGGGAGCAAACGG